UGGGGAAUAUUCCACAAUGGGCGGAAGCCUGAUGCAGCGACGCCGCGUGGGGGAUGAAGGCCUUCGGGUUGUAAACUCCUUUCGACAGGGACGAAGCUUUUGUGACGGUACCUGUAUAAGAAGCACCGGCUAACUACGUGCCAGCAGCCGCGGUAAUACGUAGGGUGCGAGCGUUGUCCGGAAUUACUGGGCGUAAAGAGCUCGUAGGUGGUUUGUCGCGUCGUCUGUGAAAUUCCGGGGCUUAACUCCGGGCGUGCAGGCGAUACGGGCUGACUUGAGUGCUGUAGGGGAGACUGGAAUUCCUGGUGUAGCGGUGAAAUGCGCAGAUAUCAGGAGGAACACCGAUGGCGAAGGCAGGUCUCUGGGCAGUAACUGACGCUGAGGAGCGAAAGCAUGGGUAGCGAACAGG
rnacentral:rRNA from 1 species